UCUCUCAUAAUGAUAUGUUUCUACAGAAUGAUUUGUGUUGAUAUUUCUUUAGCAGUAUUUUUUUAACCAGACUUCUUGAUCAGGCUCCUCUUUAAAUAGAAACUCUCAGUUUCUAUCAGCUCGAUGAAUUAAUUGUUUACUUGCCAAGGAGUCUUUUGGAAAAAGAAAAAGAAAAAGAUGCAGUCACACAAAAAUAGAGCGUUACUUUCAGUGAUAUAUUGAGACACAGUUAUCUGUUUAUCGAGCUGUUACCACCUCUGGCUUCAGAAGCUUUCCUGCGAUUGAAAGAGAGGUUUAUGGCAGUGUGACAUCAAUCUCUGUACUGGACUAUAUAUACUCAGUAGGAUGGUGACACAUUUGCAAGCACAACUCCACGAGGCUAGUAGUUCUCUCGUACAAAUAUCAAAGAUGAAAGAUAUCACCAUAUUUAAUCAAGCUUGGAAAUGAUGAGCUCAGACAUUGAACUAAACAAGUUUUUUGCAUUUUGGAGGACUGCUUUUGGCCGAGCAGGAUGGUAGACUUGUGACUGUAGAACUGGAGAAAACUUGCUCUCUUUCUCUCUGCCUCUCAAAGUGCAAAGCACCCAAUUACAAUACAAAUUGAAGAGAAACACCUGAAGUUGAAAGUCAAAAGUUCUGAAAGACUUAAUACUGCUGAGGAUACAAUACUUGAAUUAAACAACCACAGUGCCACAUUAAAACAAUUUUGCCACAAGG